rnacentral:rRNA from 1 species
ACUAAGCGUACACGGUGGAUGCCCUGGCAGUCAGAGGCGAUGAAGGACGUGCUAAUCUGCGAUAAGCGUCGGUAAGGUGAUAUGAACCGUUAUAACCGGCGAUUUCCGAAUGGGGAAACCCAGUGUGAUUCGUCACACUAUCAUUAACUGAAUCCAUAGGUUAAUGAGGCGAACCGGGGGAACUGAAACAUCUAAGUACCCCGAGGAAAAGAAAUCAACCGAGAUUCCCCCAGUAGCGGCGAGCGAACGGGGAGCAGCCCAGAGCCUGAAUCAGUGUGUGUGUUAGUGGAAGCGUCUGGAAAGGCGUGCGAUACAGGGUGACAGCCCCGUACACAAAAAUGCACAUAUUGUGAGCUCGAUGAGUAGGGCGGGACACGUGGUAUCCUGUCUGAAUAUGGGGGGACCAUCCUCCAAGGCUAAAUACUCCUGACUGACCGAUAGUGAACCAGUACCGUGAGGGAAAGGCGAAAAGAACCCCGGCGAGGGGAGUGAAAAAGAACCUGAAACCGUGUACGUACAAGCAGUGGGAGCACGCUUAGGCGUGUGACUGCGUACCUUUUGUAUAAUGGGUCAGCGACUUAUAUUCUGUAGCAAGGUUAACCGAAUAGGGGAGCCGAAGGGAAACCGAGUCUUAACUGGGCGUUAAGUUGCAGGGUAUAGACCCGAAACCCGGUGAUCUAGCCAUGGGCAGGUUGAAGGUUGGGUAACACUAACUGGAGGACCGAACCGACUAAUGUUGAAAAAUUAGCGGAUGACUUGUGGCUGGGGGUGAAAGGCCAAUCAAACCGGGAGAUAGCUGGUUCUCCCCGAAAGCUAUUUAGGUAGCGCCUCGUGAAUUCAUCUCCGGGGGUAGAGCACUGUUUCGGCAAGGGGGUCAUCCCGACUUACCAACCCGAUGCAAACUACGAAUACCGGAGAAUGUUAUCACGGGAGACACACGGCGGGUGCUAACGUCCGUCGUGAAGAGGGAAACAACCCAGACCGCCAGCUAAGGUCCCAAAGUCAUGGUUAAGUGGGAAACGAUGUGGGAAGGCCCAGACAGCCAGGAUGUUGGCUUAGAAGCAGCCAUCAUUUAAAGAAAGCGUAAUAGCUCACUGGUCGAGUCGGCCUGCGCGGAAGAUGUAACGGGGCUAAACCAUGCACCGAAGCUGCGGCAGCGACGCUGAUGCGUUGUUGGGUAGGGGAGCGUUCUGUAAGCCUGCGAAGGUGUGCUGUGAGGCAUGCUGGAGGUAUCAGAAGUGCGAAUGCUGACAUAAGUAACGAUAAAGCGGGUGAAAAGCCCGCUCGCCGGAAGACCAAGGGUUCCUGUCCAACGUUAAUCGGGGCAGGGUGAGUCGACCCCUAAGGCGAGGCCGAAAGGCGUAGUCGAUGGGAAACAGGUUAAUAUUCCUGUACUUGGUGUUACUGCGAAGGGGGGACGGAGAAGGCUAUGUUGGCCGGGCGACGGUUGUCCCGGUUUAAGCGUGUAGGCUGGUUUUCCAGGCAAAUCCGGAAAAUCAAGGCUGAGGCGUGAUGACGAGGCACUACGGUGCUGAAGCAACAAAUGCCCUGCUUCCAGGAAAAGCCUCUAAGCAUCAGGUAACAUCAAAUCGUACCCCAAACCGACACAGGUGGUCAGGUAGAGAAUACCAAGGCGCUUGAGAGAACUCGGGUGAAGGAACUAGGCAAAAUGGUGCCGUAACUUCGGGAGAAGGCACGCUGAUAUGUAGGUGAAGUCCCUCGCGGAUGGAGCUGAAAUCAGUCGAAGAUACCAGCUGGCUGCAACUGUUUAUUAAAAACACAGCACUGUGCAAACACGAAAGUGGACGUAUACGGUGUGACGCCUGCCCGGUGCCGGAAGGUUAAUUGAUGGGGUUAGCGCAAGCGAAGCUCUUGAUCGAAGCCCCGGUAAACGGCGGCCGUAACUAUAACGGUCCUAAGGUAGCGAAAUUCCUUGUCGGGUAAGUUCCGACCUGCACGAAUGGCGUAAUGAUGGCCAGGCUGUCUCCACCCGAGACUCAGUGAAAUUGAACUCGCUGUGAAGAUGCAGUGUACCCGCGGCAAGACGGAAAGACCCCGUGAACCUUUACUAUAGCUUGACACUGAACAUUGAGCCUUGAUGUGUAGGAUAGGUGGGAGGCUUUGAAGUGUGGACGCCAGUCUGCAUGGAGCCGACCUUGAAAUACCACCCUUUAAUGUUUGAUGUUCUAACGUGGACCCGUAAUCCGGGUUGCGGACAGUGUCUGGUGGGUAGUUUGACUGGGGCGGUCUCCUCCUAAAGAGUAACGGAGGAGCACGAAGGUUGGCUAAUCCUGGUCGGACAUCAGGAGGUUAGUGCAAUGGCAUAAGCCAGCUUGACUGCGAGCGUGACGGCGCGAGCAGGUGCGAAAGCAGGUCAUAGUGAUCCGGUGGUUCUGAAUGGAAGGGCCAUCGCUCAACGGAUAAAAGGUACUCCGGGGAUAACAGGCUGAUACCGCCCAAGAGUUCAUAUCGACGGCGGUGUUUGGCACCUCGAUGUCGGCUCAUCACAUCCUGGGGCUGAAGUAGGUCCCAAGGGUAUGGCUGUUCGCCAUUUAAAGUGGUACGCGAGCUGGGUUUAGAACGUCGUGAGACAGUUCGGUCCCUAUCUGCCGUGGGCGCUGGAGAACUGAGGGGGGCUGCUCCUAGUACGAGAGGACCGGAGUGGACGCAUCACUGGUGUUCGGGUUGUCAUGCCAAUGGCACUGCCCGGUAGCUAAAUGCGGAAGAGAUAAGUGCUGAAAGCAUCUAAGCACGAAACUUGCCCCGAGAUGAGUUCUCCCUGACUCCUUGAGAGUCCUGAAGGAACGUUGAAGACGACGACGUUGAUAGGCCGGGUGUGUAAGCGCAGCGAUGCGUUGAGCUAACCGGUACUAAUGAACCGUGAGGCUUAACC